AUGGCCGCGCAUGUGUAUCUUCCUGUCGGUCACCUCCCGCCAUGGACCCGCCUGCCGGAAGAAAAGGAGGAAGGGAUGCGAGCGCAGCAGCAGGAGAAGGAGGCGGAAAAGGAGGGCGGCGGCGGCGGCAAGAGGAGGAAGGUCGCCGCCGAUGUCACCAUUGACCUGGACAUCCUCGACUGCCCCGUCUGCUACCAGCCCCUGCGCCCUCCCAUCUUCCAGUGCACUGUGGGGCAUACCAUAUCCUCAUCUUGCCAUAACAAGCUCCCAGAGAAGUGCCACUUCUGCUCCCUUCCCACAGUCUACAACCGCUGCCACAUGGUAGAACAUCUUGUUGAAUCCAUCAAAGUUGCUUGCUCCAAUUGCAAUCACGGAUGCACUGCAAGGAUAUCCUACUACCAGAAAGAAGACCAUGAGAAAGGUUGUCCACAUGCACCAUGUUUCUGCCCCGAAACCGACUGCGGCUUCAGCGGACCUACCGCAGUUCUCCUGGAGCAUUUUUCAGGCAAGCACAAGUGGCACUCCCCAAAAGUUACCUACAACAAAGCGUUCCGGAUCCGCAUCCAUGUGGGAUCAACCGUUCUGGUGGGCGAGGAUGGGAACCUCUUCCUGGUCAACAUGACAAUGGAGUCCCGUGGCGGUGUCAUCUCAGUUUGCUCCGUCCAGCCUCACAGUACUGGAUCCAGCUUCAGGUGCAAGCUAACAUUGUCGUGCACUGAACCGAGCUUUUCUCAGUCUAUGGAGUUCUUAAUAAGGAGCACAAAUCUGUAUGAUGGGUUUCCCAAAGAUUGCUUCCAGUUCCUUGUGCCGAAGGUGUUGCUCCGAGGAGCCGGUACAAGCGCCACCGCGAUGGUGGGUGUAACCGUCACGCCACAAUAG
rnacentral:rRNA from 1 species